rnacentral:rRNA from 1 species
UACGUAGGGGGCUAGCGUUGUCCGGAAUCAUUGGGCGUAAAGAGCGUGUAGGCGGCCCGGUAAGUCCGCUGUAAAAGUCAAAGGCUCAACCUUUGAAUGUCAGUGGAUACUGCCGGGCUCGAGUCCGGAAGAGGCGAGUGGAAUUCCCGGUGUAGCGGUGAAAUGCGCAGAUAUCGGGAGGAACACCAAUGGCGAAGGCAGCUCGCUGGGACGUGACUGACGCUGAGACGCGAAAGCGUGGGGAGCAAACAGG